rnacentral:rRNA from 1 species
GACGAACGCUGGCGGCGUGCUUAACACAUGCAAGUCGAACGGAAAGGCCCUGCUUUUGUGGGGUGCUCGAGUGGCGAACGGGUGAGUAACACGUGAGUAACCUGCCCUUGACUUUGGGAUAACUUCAGGAAACUGGGGCUAAUACCGGAUAGGAGCUCCUGCUGCAUGGUGGGGGUUGGAAAGUUUCGGCGGUUGGGGAUGGACUCGCGGCUUAUCAGCUUGUUGGUGGGGUAGUGGCUUACCAAGGCUUUGACGGGUAGCCGGCCUGAGAGGGUGACCGGCCACAUUGGGACUGAGAUACGGCCCAGACUCCUAAGGGAGGCAGCAGUGGGGAAUAUUGCACCAUGGGCGGAAGCCUGGUGCAGCAACGCCGCGGGCGGGAUGACGGCCUUCGGGUUGUAAACCGCUUUCGCCUGUGACGAAGCGUGAGUGACGGUAAUGGGUAAAGAAGCACCGGCUAACUACGUG